GGGGCUGUCGCUCAGCUGGGAGAGCGCAUCGUUCGCAAUGAUGAGGUCAGGGGUUCGAUCCCCCUCAGCUCCACCA
rnacentral:tRNA from 1 species